UACGAAGGGUGCUAGCGUUGCUAGGAAUUACUGGGCGUAAAGCGCACGUAGGCGGCUCUUUAAGUCGGGGGUGAAAUCCUGGAGCUCAACUCCAGAACUGCCUUCGAUACUGGAGAGCUCGAGUCCGGGAGAGGUGAGUGGAACUGCGAGUGUAGAGGUGAAAUUCGUAGAUAUUCGCAAGAACACCAGUGGCGAAGGCGGCUCACUGGCCCGGUACUGACGCUGAGGUGCGAAAGCGUGGGGAGCAAACAGG
rnacentral:rRNA from 1 species